UAAAUACGGCAAAGUGUUAACUGCUGAACCCGGGUGUCGAGUAUAUGGGAGUUCUUUGUACAAUUCUUACAACUUUUCAGUAAGUUUGAAAUUACUUCAAAAUGAAAAAGAUAUUUCAUGUC